UACGAGGGGAGCAAGCGUUGUUCGGAUUUACUGGGCGUAAAGGGCGCGUAGGCGGUCGUGACAAGUCACUUGUGAAAUCUCCGGGCUUAACUCGGAACGGUCAAGUGAUACUGUCGGACUAGAGUACAGAAGGGGCAACUGGAAUUCUCGGUGUAGCGGUGAAAUGCGUAGAUAUCGAGAGGAACACCAGUGGCGAAGGCGAGUCUCUGGACGACUCCUGACACUGAGGCACGAAAGCUAGGGGAGCAAACAGG
rnacentral:rRNA from 1 species